rnacentral:rRNA from 1 species
UGGUGGAGUGAUUUGUCUGGUUAAUUCCGAUAACGAACGAGACCUUAACCUGCUAAAUAGCCCGAUCGGCUCUUGCUGAUUGCUGGCUUCUUAGAGGGACUAUCAGCAUCUAGCUGAUGGAAGUUUGAGGCAAUAACA